AGCGCCUUGGCUUCGCAAGUAACUCCCCUGCUAAGGGAGUAGGCCCGGAAGGGUCUCGAGGGUUCGAAUCCCUUCGUCUCCGCCA
rnacentral:tRNA from 1 species